GACCAGACCUUCACCCCUCACAGAGACAAAACCUCCACCCUCACAGAACAGACCUUCACACCUCACAGAGACCAAACCUCCACCCUCAUAGACCAGACCUUCACCCCCCUUACAGAGACCAAACCUCCACCCUGACAGAGACCAGACCUUCACCCCUCACAGAGACCAGCCUCCACCCUCACAGACGAGACCACCACCCCUCACAGACAGGAGACCUCCACCCCUCACAGAGCAGACCUCCACCCUUCAAAGAGCAGACCUCCACCCCUAACAGAGCAGACCUCCACCCCUCGCAGAGAGCCGAUAGCAGUGGGUGGAGGUCAGAUCCGGUCCAGAGGACAGAGGCGAUGGCGAAUGUCCUCCCCUCUCCUGGGCCCCGACCCCUCGCCCCAUAGAUGGAUGGGCCACACAACAGCCAGGCAGCACUCUGCGAAGAUCAUCAUCUAUGCACAUUGGACUGAUGAAGAGGGGCGGAGUCGCCUUUUUUGUGGACUAUAGGGUGCGCUCUGUUCCUCCAAGCCAGCCCCUUCCUUUGUGGCACCUUCACCUGCUUGCCACGCUGCAAAUGUUGUUUUGUC
ensembl:lncRNA